ACCAUGUAAGAAGUGCUUUUCACCUCCCGCCAUGAUUCUGAGGCCUCCCCAGCCACAUGGAACUAACCAGGACACCAGAGGAAGAAAAUCAGCAGACAGAAAAAUACUGGGGAAAAUAAAAUGCCACGUGGUUCUGUUCAGCUGAGCUUCUGCUCCCUCCAGCACCCCCACGUGGGACAUUUGUUUACCCCCCACGAUGCUGCUCUUGGAGAGUCCCAGGGGACAGGUUUCAAGCCCUUGGGGAUGCAGCCUGUCUAACUUAAUAUGCACAGCCGUUCACAUCCAGGGCACAGAGGCAGCCUGGCUUUCCCUGGAGGCCCACGGGGACCACAAUGCUGCAUUUGUCUGUGGAACUGAGAUUUAGCUGCACAUUCUUGCCUGAAUGCAGCGGGCCUCCAGCCACAGCCUGAUGGCAUGGGGGAUUCCAGGAGGGAUGUGCUUCAUGAGCCGGCAAUUGCUCUUCUUUCCAGUCCCCAGACCCAGCCAAGAUUACAGAUAGAUGCGUUCAUCGCGCGCAGGUGCUGGGGAAGCCAGUGGGACAUCACUGGCUACAUUCACCAACAGGAUUUUCCAACUGCAGUGUUUAUCGGUUUUUCAAACGAAUUCAACAUCUGUAUUCCUCACCCAUUUACUGAGUGGCUACAAUGUGUAAGGCAAUAUUCUCAGUCAUGGGGAGUUAGAAAAGGUCAAAGGCAUAUAAGAUAUGGCAUGUGCUCUGAGAGAACUCAUCAUCUAUCCAGAACCUACUCAUCACAUUUGGAAAGAGAAGAGAAACUAGCAUUCUAUGGAGUACUUACUAUGUGCCAGAUUUGGAGUGAGGCAUAGUAUGAGUGUUACUCAUUUACAUCUCAUGGCCAACCUCCAAUGUGGACAUUUAGCAUCUCCAUCUUACAAGUGAGAAAUUUCACUGUAGAGAGGUUAAAUAUCAUGUGUCAUUGAUUCUGUGACAUGUAUUAUUUUCACAUUUGAACAUCUGAAAUAUAGAUAUGUCUAAAAGGGCUUUUUUUCUUGGUAGUAAGAUAACUGUAGGUCUUUGCAGUAGUGUCUUAGAUUCUGUGAAAUAUGGUAUUUUGGCAAGUGUACAUGGCUAAGAACAAGUGGAAUCAGAAUUCAACUUAAGUUUGCUUGACUCCAAAGCUUAUGUGUUUUCCAGUAUAAUGUGCUGCAGUAUCAAUGGUCUGUAUGAACAAAGGCCAUAUCAUUUUUAUUGACAAAGUAUAGAAAUGGGGAAAUGGUGACUGAACUGGAACUUGCAUCAUCUAAUUCCAUAACUGAGGAGACAAUAGCCUGGGGACUGCAUGUAUCCCACAGGAUGUUAAAAAAUUGAGAAAAUGUUAUUUCAUGAUCUUCACUUCUCUGUUGAUUAUAACUUAUUUUUGAAGAGGCUAAAAUAAAUGGCAAACUCUUGUAUGGAUAAGAUAUAAAA
rnacentral:sRNA from 1 species